ensembl:snRNA U6 U6 spliceosomal RNA
GUGCUUGCUUUGGCAGCACAUAUACUAAAAUUGGAAUAAUACAGAGAAGAUUAGCAUGGCCCCUGCACAAGGAUGACACACAAAUUCAUGAAGCAUUCCAUAUUUUU